rnacentral:rRNA from 1 species
CCUACGGGUGGCAGCAGUCGAGAAUCAUUCACAAUGGGGGAAACCCUGAUGGUGCGACGCCGCGUGCGGGAAUGAAGGUCUUCGGAUUGUAAACCCCUGUCAUGUGGGAGCAAAUUAAAAAGAUAGUACCACAAGAGGAAGAGACGGCUAACUCUGUGCCAGCAGCCGCGGGAAUACAGAGGUCUCAAGCGUUGUUCGGAAUACCUGGGCGUAAAGCGUGCGUAGGCUGUUUCGUAAGUCGUGUGUGAAAUGCGGGGGCUCAACCCCCGGACGGCCCAUGAUACUGCGCGACUAGAGUAAUGGAGGGGUAGCCGGAAUGCUCGGUGUAGCAGUGAAAUGCGUAGAGAUCGAGAGGAACACUCGUGGCGAAGGCGGGUUCCUGGACAUUAACUGACGCUGAGGCACGAAGGCCAGGGGAGCGAAAGGGAUUAGAUACCCCAGUAGUC